rnacentral:rRNA from 1 species
GAUGAACGCUAGCUACAGGCUUAACACAUGCAAGUCGAGGGGAAACGAUAUUGGAAGCUUGCUUCCGAUAGGCGUCGACCGGCGCACGGGUGAGUAACGCGUAUCCAACCUGCCCAUCACUUGGGAAUAACCUUGCGAAAGUAAGACUAAUACCCAAUGACGUCUCUAGAAGACAUCUGAAAGAGAUUAAAGAUUUAUCGGUGAUGGAUGGGGAUGCGUCUGAUUAGUUUGUUGGCGGGGUAACGGCCCACCAAGGCGACGAUCAGUAGGGGUUCUGAGAGGAAGGUCCCCCACAUUGGAACUGAGACACGGUCCAAACUCCUACGGGAGGCAGCAGUGAGGAAUAUUGGUCAACUGGGCGAGAGCCUGAACCAGCCAAGUAGCGUGCAGGGUGACGGCCCUAUGGGUUGUAAACUGCUUUUAUAAGGGAAUAAAGUGAGUCUCGUGAGACUUUUUGCAUGUACCUUAUGAAUAAGGACCGGCUAAUUCCGUG